rnacentral:tRNA from 1 species
GGAGAGGUACGAAAGUGGCUUAAUCGGAUAGUCUUGAAAACUAUUGUGGCAGCAAUGUCACCGUGGGUUCGAAUCCCACCCUCUCCG